CUCUUGCUCUCACCUCACGUUACCCUCACAAUCUGUCUGUAGCAGUGACGGCGGCGACUUCCCACUGGUUCUCCCUCCGACAUCCAGGUGGAACUGCUUCUUUCUUUUUGUGUGGAGAUGGGCUUUUCUUCAGUUAUACCUGUUGGUCACGAUGAUAGAGGCCUGCUUGCCUUAAAAACUGCACAGAGCCCAUGCUUAACCAAAUUUUGUCAAUGUCAGAAAUUUCUUGGAGAAAGCAAAAUAUGGUCAAAGAAUUCAAAAAUUUAGUUUUUCAAGCUUUUUCAUUUUUUAAUAUAUGUAAACACAGUUUAAAACUUUUAUGUAAUUCAUUUCUAUCUACUUUUAAACAUAUUUAACUUUCAUUCAAGAAAUAUAUAACGUUA